CCUCCGCAAUGUGAGCAAUCGCGACGGGGGGAUCCCAAGUGCCAUUCUUAACGGGAUGGCUUUUCUUAAGUGUAAAGAGCUUUUGGAAUAAGAGCUGGGCAAGACCGGUGCCAGCCGCCGCGGUAACACCGGCAGCUCUAGUGGUAGCUGUUUUUAUUGGGCCUAAAGCGUUCGUAGCCGGUUUAAUAAGUCUUUGGUGAAAUCCUGUAGCUUAACUAUGGGAAUUGCUGAGGAUACUGUUAGGCUUGAGGUCGGGAGAGGUUAGCGGUACUCCCAGGGUAGGGGUGAAAUCCUGUAAUCCUGGGAGGACCACCUGUGGCGAAGGCGGCUAACUGGAACGAACCUGACGGUGAGGGACGAAAGCUAGGGGCGCGAACCGGAUUAGAUACCCGUGUAGUCC
rnacentral:rRNA from 1 species